rfam:PVC group bacterium (ex Bugula neritina AB1) isolate AB1-3 AB834_contig000030, whole genome shotgun sequence.
GAGAAAGUCGCUUAAUUUGGUAGAGCGUAAGUUUCCAAAACUUAAGUUGAAAGUUCAACUCUUUCCUUUCUCG